AUUGAACGCUGGCGGCAUGCCUUACACAUGCAAGUCGAACGGCAGCACGGGUGCUUGCACCUGGUGGCGAGUGGCGAACGGGUGAGUAAUACAUCGGAACAUGUCCUGUAGUGGGGGAUAGCCCGGCGAAAGCCGGAUUAAUACCGCAUACGAUCUACGGAUGACAGCGGGGGACCUUCGGGCCUCGCGCUAUAGGGUUGGCCGAUGGCUGAUUAGCUAGUUGGUGGGGUAAAGGCCUACCAAGGCGACAAUCAGUAGCUGGUCUGAGAGGACGACCAGCCACACUGGGACUGAGACACGGCCCAGACUCCUACGGGAGGCAGCAGUGGGGAAUUUUGGACAAUGGGCGAAAGCCUGAUCCAGCAAUGCCGCGUGUGUGAAGAAGGCCUUCGGGUUGUAAAGCACUUUUGUCCGGAAAGAAAUCCUUGGCCCUAAUACGGUCGGGGGAUGACGGUACCGGAAGAAUAAGCACCGGCUAACUACGUG
rnacentral:rRNA from 1 species